UCAAAAGGUGGAUGGCCAAUCAAGCAGAUAUUACUCAACACUUUUUGAGAACUGGCAAAUAAUCAGAAGAAAAUAUAGGUGGAAUUCAAUCUAACAAAGAAUCAACUCAGAUGUUUCAGAUCAGCAGGAUCUGUUUUAUGUGUCAUCUUCAUUCCUCAAGCAUUAACCUGUAGGAAUGUCUUCUGCAGUGAUCCUGUAUACAGGCAGCAAGCUUAAAGCAAAUGGCUGACCUUUUUCCCCAAGCUACAGAAGAUAUUGCAGAAGUAUGCCCCAUUUGCUCUCAGACAGGAAGCAUCCACUGAGAUUCUUAAGACAGAUAGUUUCCAAGUUUUUUUCCUGGGAGGAGAAGGGAAGUGUUUACAACUG
rnacentral:lncRNA from 1 species